rnacentral:lncRNA from 1 species
GGGAGAUACACUGUUGGACACCAGAGGCGACAGUGAGGGGAGGAGGGGGCCACAGCCAAGGACCACAGGACGUCCUAGAAACCAAGAAGGGCCAAGGAAGCCGCUUCUCUCCUAAACCUCCAGAAGGAACUCAACCAGACCAACAGUUUGAAUUUGGACUUCGGACCUCCAGAACGGCAAAAGACCCUGCAAGCAAAGCACCCCAUGAUGGCAACCCUCAAGUAAUAAGGACUGCCCUGAUGUCAGCAAGACUCUCCAUGAAUGGACCCCAAAGACAAGGAUCAACCUUCACCUUUCCCACCCCCUGCAUGUGCCCACCAAGCUUUGUCUCACAUUUUCCUUAUAUAAACCUGGAAGCAUUUACAGUACUUUGGAGCCACCAGUCCAUCGUCUUCUCAGGUUGACCUUACUGAAAUAAAUCCCUCUCUUUUUCACCCCCACUCCUUUCUAUGCCUUUGUCGGCAGUGAGCAGCUGAAACGUGUGUUUCAUGGGCGGGAACCCCCAGUGCGCUGGUUGCCAUGCGGUGUUACCAAGAACGGAAGGACUCACCGAUUUCUAAACCGGUUACUAGGAAAGGGACGGACUCAAGAUUCACCUCCAGGGACAACAGAAGAGCUGGUCCCUCCUGUAGGAGGAGCAAACGGCUACGUUAGAGACAAAGAUUUUACAAAAUCGCGGAGGGCUGUCCUUUUCAGCAAAAUGUGCAAACGUCUGUAACUUGCACUUUUUUUUUUUUGCUCGAAAUCUUCUGACCUGGAUGUGCAUUCAUUUAUUUAAUACUUUUCUUUGCUUAGAGCAGCCCCCA